UACGGGGGGGGCAAGCGUUGUUCGGAAUUACUGGGCGUAAAGGGCUCGUAGGCGGCCAACUAAGUCAGACGUGAAAUCCCUCGGCUUAACCGGGGAACUGCAUCUGAUACUGGAUGGCUUGAAUUCGGGAGAGGGAUGCAGAAUUCCAGGUGUAGCGGUGAAAUGCGUAGAUAUCUGGAGGAAUACCGGUGGCGAAGGCGGCAUCCUGGACCGAGAUUGACGCUGAGGAGCGAAAGCUAGGGGAGCAAACGGG
rnacentral:rRNA from 1 species